AUGGAAGACAGAGCUGGGGGAGACGGAGCUGGGGAGAGAACACAUGGGCUGCUGUACCUGUGCGUGUUCUUACCUUGCAUGGAAGAGCUGAGGCAUCUAGAAAAGCACCAGACGGCGGCCUUNNNNNNNNNNNNNNNNNNNNNNNNNNNNNNNNNNNNNNNNNNNNNNNNNNNNNNNNNNNNNNNNNNNNNNNNNNNNNNNNNNNNNNNNNNNNNNNNNNNNNNNNNNNNNNNNNNNNNNNNNGGCCCUCCAGACACCAUGCCCCUUCCUCGCCCAGCGCCGGGGUCCACCCCUGGCCCCUGGCCCCUCUCACCCUGCUGCCCCCAGGGUCCUGACCCUCCAGCAGUUAAUAAGCAUCUGCUGACCCUCCAGGUGCUGCAGACGAGGCCAGGGACCCUGCUCCCCUGUUUCUCACCCUUUGGGCUCCUGGCCGCCGUCCAUCCCCAGGCGCUGACCUCUUUCUUUAAAUGCUCUUGGUGGUUCAGUUAGGACCUGAGGAUACAGCCCGAAGCAUGGACCUCCCAGGCGGGACUGCCCCCCAGAGUCCCCAGACCCACCGGAGUCGUGUCCCCACAUGUUCUGGCCCCAGUGCCCCAGCGGGCAGCAGUGGAGAGCUCCAACUGGAUCCCCAUCAGAACCACAGGCACAAACGCCGAUAUCCUAAACCUCUGAUCCAAGGAGGAAACCUUGGAACUGCUGAAAGACCCGAGCCUUUCAGAACAUCUCAUGAAGGAGACAGAAGCUGAUGCCAGGAUGGCAGGGCCCGAGGCUGCCAAGGAGCUGGCCGCUCAGGGCAUUCGUAGGGCACCUGGAUGGCACUCGGAUAGAGAACAGGGGGUGCCCCUGUAGAGUGAGGGCAGUGGGCACACACGGAUAGAGGCUUGUUGGGGUCCCCUCUACAGAGAGGGCAUGGGGCACACGUGGAUGGAGGCUUGUCGGGGUCCCUGUAGAGUGAGGGCAUGGGGCACACGUGGAUGGAAGCUUGUCCGGUCCCUGUAGAGUGAGGGCACUGGGCACAUGCAGAUGGAGGCUUGCCAGNNNNNNNNNNNNNNNNNNNNNNUGGGCACAUGCAGAUGGAGGCUUGCCAGGGUCCCUGUAGAGUGAGGGCACGGGGCACAUGUGGAUGGAGGCUUGUCGGGGUCCCUGUAGAUCGAGGGCGCUGGGCAUACGCGGAUGGAGGCUUGUCCAGGGGUCCUGCGCGACUGGUUCUGAGAGAGCUGGGGCUAACGCCUGUGCCCCCUCAGCUGUGUUCCCCACCCCGUGCUUUUCUAGGGCAAUGCAUUAAAAGCAGUUAAAGAAGCAACGUCUGGUUACCGGAGAAGCAGUCAUCUUGAAUGAAACAAAAGCCCGUCAGCGAGUGUGGCUGGUGGGCGAGGCUGAGUCGAGGCUGAGUGAUGAGGAGAGCGGCUGCGAUGUGUGCUUCACGUCCCAGAGCUGCCCCGAGUGGGCACUGCAUCUUCCCGUCAUUUUUACACCCCCCUUAAAUGUACCUCGUUUGUGUGCCCCCUUUGUUUAAAAAUACCAUCAUAAGCUGUGGUAAAAUGCCAGUAUAAUCCUAUGCGUAAAUGAUGUUUAAAUGGAUUUUCAACUACUUUAAGCCAAAAAAAGAGAUGGUUAUAUGUACACUUUUGUUCCAUUUCUUUAACUGUACAUCCAAGGGGACAACUACAAUAAAAAAAAGACGCCCCCUCCCAAAGAACCACGUCAUUCACUAUAAAACUGAAGACGAUAGGGGCUGUUCAUGCCGACCAGCAGCUUCCUCUCCCAAACAUCCAUUGUAAGAAAGUCCUUUAAAAAGUCAAGAGGCAGAACAACCACUGAGAAAUGCUCAAGGACAGACAAGGGCAGCUGGGUGCGCACGGCUGCCCGAAGACCCCGAAGCUCCUCCGUGUCCUCCAGUCCCACUCUUGCCCCGCAGCCCUGCGGCGCCAGCGGCUUUAAUGGGAAAAGUUCCAAAGCUGUAAUUUACUGCUUUGAAAAAUGAGGGAGCCUGCUGCGUUUGACAUGCUUCUUUGAAACACGGAAUAUUUAAAAUCCAUACCCCAAACUUAAUGCAUAGAUAGAUCAUAUCCUUUUAUGGCUUCACUGGUGUAAGAAGAGCCUCGUAACCUUUCACAAGGUAUGUUUUAUUCCUUGUAAUGUGUAUCACGUGAAGAUUAAGAGGCUAUAUUAUCGCCUUCAAAAUGACCUGCUAUUUCCUGGAAACAGUAAUUUGCCAGACCUGUCCUUGCCCCUGGGGCAACCAUAACGCCCUCAAUAAUCUUCCAUUCAUUGAGCAACAUGUUUGCAUCAGAAAGACGGGUCUGGUCUGGCCAUGCCGAUGGGCGUGCAGUGGUUCGGUACCCUCUCUCCGAGUGCCAUCUAGAGGUGGUGAGCCCCAGCGCAGGCGCUGGCUGGCAUGGCUUUCUGCGCUUUCGUUAACUUAUCCUGGAGAGUGUACCCUCGAGGCUGAGAGUGGGCAUGUCUAAGAGCUCGCGUAUCUCAUCCCUUCACUCUGAGCCGGAACUGCGGGAACCUUCCCAGUGGAGAAGGGGUCACAGGGGUGUGGCUGAACCGGAUCUGGGACAGGCUUGCUCUGAGGCCAGGGAAGCUCUUGGAAGCUGCGAAACCCGGCGCCGCUGAGAAGCUGGCCCUGGAGAAGAACAGGAAAGCCUGCUGGGCUGACCUCCGUGGCCUCCUGCCUCCCAUGAGGACGGAGAGGCGGUCCAGCUCCCCUUCUUGGUCACGUCACAGUCACGGCCCUAACGCAGCUCUUAUGCCUGCUGGACACCAUGUUCGCAGAACCCAGCCCUGUGAGGCACCACCCCAGGACCCCAGAUAUGGGAAACGACUCUCUGUGACGCAGAAGCAAAGCCCUCGCUCCCCAGUUAUGGAUGCUUUCCCCAUCGACAGACACACAAACCUACCUUUAUUUACUUAAACAAUUGUUUGAAUCAGUUUUUUAAAAGACGCUUUCAUAAAUACCCACCCCACCCCCACUAAUGAGACGCUUUCAGACGGGUCACAAAUGUGUGUCUCCUCAUUUGUUUCAUGCCAUCAUUACCGUGAAUGCACCUUUAUGAAGUCUAAUUUCUCAAUCUUUAUGGCUUUUAAUUUUCUAUGUCAUUAACAUUCACAUGUGGAUUCUCACCGCUCUCCUGGGUGAAAAACUUUUCAUGGGAAAAAAACCACACGUUU
rnacentral:lncRNA from 1 species